rnacentral:rRNA from 1 species
AUCAAGGAAAAGGAGCCGGUAUCAGGCUCAACUUUAAGCCCACGACACCUAGCCACGCCACGCCCACAAGGGUAUUCAGCAGUGAUAAACCUUGUUUAUAAGCGCAAGCUUGAAUCAGUUAUGGCAAAGAGGGCCGGCAAAUCCGGUGCCAGCCGCCGCGGCUACACCGUUAGGCCCAAGUUGACACACACCGGCGUUAAGCGUGAUUAGAGUGAUUACACUGAUUAGAGUUAAACCCAAACUUAGUCGUGAUACACUUGUUCCCGGGAAACCCAAAAACGAAAGUUACUCUAACCAACCCACUUGACCCCACGACAGCUAGGGCACAAACUGGGAUUAGGUACCCCACUAUGCCUAGCCGUAAAAUAUACACUCACCCCAUAAAUCGCCAGGGAAUUACGAGCCCAAGCUUAAAAGCCAAAGGACUUGACGGUGUCCACCCACCUAGAGGAGCCUGUUCUAUAAUCGAUUCCCCCCGAUAAACCUCACCACUUCUGGCCAACUCAGCCUGUAUACCUCCGUCGUAAGCUUACCAUGUGAACGAAACCAGUGAGCCAAAAGAUCCAACAUCAGUACGUCAGGUCAAGGUGCAGCUAACGAACUGGAAAGAAAUGGGCUACAAUUUCUACCAUAGAACAAACGAAAGGCUACAUGAAACAUAGUCACUGAAGGCGGAUUUAGCAGUAAAAAGAAAA